AUUGAACGCUGGCGGCAUGCUUUACACAUGCAAGUCGAACGGCAGCGCGGGCUUCGGCCUGGCGGCGAGUGGCGAACGGGUGAGUAAUGCAUCGGAACGUGCCCAGUAGUGGGGGAUAGCCCGGCGAAAGCCGGAUUAAUACCGCAUACGACCUGAGGGUGAAAGCGGGGGACCGAAAGGCCUCGCGCUAUUGGAGCGGCCGAUGUCGGAUUAGCUAGUUGGUGGGGUAAAGGCUUACCAAGGCGACGAUCCGUAGCUGGUCUGAGAGGACGACCAGCCACACUGGGACUGAGACACGGCCCAGACUCCUACGGGAGGCAGCAGUGGGGAAUGUUGGACAGUGGGGGCGACCCUGAUCCAGCCAUGCCGCGUGCGGGAAGAAGGCCUUCGGGUUGUAAACCGCUUUUGUUCGGGAAGAAAUCCUCUGGGCUAAUACCCCGGGGGGAUGACGGUACCGGAAGAAUAAGCACCGGCUAACUACGUG
rnacentral:rRNA from 1 species